GACGAACGCUGGCGGCGUGCUUAACACAUGCAAGUCGAACGGAAAGGCCCUGCUUUUGUGGGGUGCGCGGGGGGCGAACGGGUGAGUUACACGUGAGUUACCUGUCCUUGACUGUGGGGUAACUUCAUGAAACUGGGGCUAAUACCGGCUAGGAGCUCCUGCUGCAUGGUGGGGGUUGGAAAGUUUCGGUGGUUGGGGGUGGACUCGCGGCUUAUCAGAUUGUUGGUGGGGUAGUGGCUGACCAAGGCUUUGACGGGUAGCCGGCCUGAGAGGGGGACAGGCCACGCUGCGAUUGGAAUACGGCACAGACUCGAACGGGAGGCGACAGUGGGGAAGAGUACACAGGGGGAGGAGGCAUGAUGCAGCCACGCAGCGUGGGGGGUGACGGCCAUCGGGUUGUAAAGCGAUUUCGCCUGUGACGGAGCGAGAGUGACGGUAAUGGGUAAAGAAGCACCGGCUAACUACGUG
rnacentral:rRNA from 1 species